CCCUUAGAUGUUCUGGGCCGCACGCGCGCUACACUGAUGCAUUCAACAAGUUCACCUUGGCCGAGAGGCUUGGGCAAUCUUUUGAACAUGCAUCGUGAUAGGGAUAGAUUAUUGCAAUUAUUAAUCUUGAACGAGGAAUUCCUAGUAAACGUAGAUCAUCAAUCUGCAUUGAUUACGUCCCUGCCCUUUGUACACACCGCCCGUCGCGCCUACCGAUUGAAUGGUCCGGUGAAGCCUCGAGAUUGUGGCCAGCUCGCUUUAUUGGGAGUUGGUUGCGAGAACUUGUCUAAACCUUAUCAUUUAGAGGAAGGUGAAGUCGUAACA
rnacentral:rRNA from 1 species